UACGGGGGGGGUAAGCGUUGUUCGGAAUUACUGGGCGUAAAGGGCUCGUAGGCGGCCAACUAAGUCAUACGUGAAAUCCCUCAGCUUAACUGGGGAACUGCGUGUGAUACUGGAUGGCUUGGAUUUGGGAGAGGGAUGCGGAAUUCCAGGUGUAGCGGUGAAAUGCGUAGAUAUCUGGAGGAACACCGGUGGCGAAGGCGGGUCUCUGGGCCACUACUGACGCUGAGAAGCGAAAACAUGGGAGCGAACAGG
rnacentral:rRNA from 1 species